rnacentral:rRNA from 1 species
GAUGAACGCUGGCGGCGUGCCUAAUACAUGCAAGUCGAGCGAACGGACGAGAAGCUUGCUUCUCUGAUGUUAGCGGCGGACGGGUGAGUAACACGUGGAUAACCUACCUAUAAGACUGGGAUAACUUCGGGAAACCGGAGCUAAUACCGGAUAAUAUUUUGAACCGCAUGGUUCAAAAGUGAAAGACGGUCUUGCUGUCACUUAUAGAUGGAUCCGCGCUGCAUUAGCUAGUUGGUAAGGUAACGGCUUACCAAGGCAACGAUGCAUAGCCGACCUGAGAGGGUGAUCGGCCACACUGGAACUGAGACACGGUCCAGACUCCUACGGGAGGCAGCAGUAGGGAAUCUUCCGCAAUGGGCGAAAGCCUGACGGAGCAACGCCGCGUGAGUGAUGAAGGUCUUCGGAUCGUAAAACUCUGUUAUUAGGGAAGAACAUAUGUGUUAGUAACUGUGCACAUCUUGACGGUACCUAAUCAGAAAGCCACGGCUAACUACGUG